AUACGGAGGGUGCGAGCGUUAAUCGGAAUUACUGGGCGUAAAGCGUGCGUAGGCGGUUUGCUAAGUCAGAUGUGAAAGCCCCGGGCUUAACCUGGGAACUGCAUUUGAUACUGGCAGACUAGAGUAUGAUAGAGGGGGGUAGAAUUCCUGGUGUAGCGGUGCAAUGCGUAGAUAUCAGGAGGAAUACCAGUGGCGAAGGCGGCCCCCUGGAUCAAUACUGACGCUGAGGUACGAAAGCGUGGGGAGCGAACAGGAUUAGAUACCCUAGUAGUCC
rnacentral:rRNA from 1 species